ACGACCUUACUUGAACAGGAUCUGUUCUAUAGGUUGUACCUCUGUAUCCUUGAGUUCUAAGGAGACAGGAACUUCAGUCUGGUGGAUGAACAAGAACCGUAUGAUCUGAGCGUGAUUGACAGUUUGAUGAUCUUUAGGUCAGCAAACGGUAGAGGAUCGUUCCAGGUCAGGUCCUCCCUGGCUUGGGUGAUCAUGCGGUUGUCUGACAGACU